AGAGUUCGUUCCUGGCUCAGAACGAACGCUGGCGGCGUGUCUCAAGCAUGCAAGUUGAGCGGCAAGGGGUAGCAAUACCCCCUAGAGCGGCGGACUGGUGAGUAACGCAUGGGUGAUCUGCCCUUGGGAUGGGGAUAGCCACUAGAAAUAGUGGGUAAUACCGAAUACGUUCACACUUUCGGAGGUGUGAGGAAAAGCGCUUCGGCGCUGCCCGAGGAUGAGCCCGUGUCCCAUUAGCUAGUUGGUGAGGUAACGGCCCACCAAGGCGAUGAUGGGUAGGCGGCCUGAGAGGGUGUACGCCCACAUUGGGACUGAGAUACGGCCCAAACUCCUACGGGAGGCAGCAGCUAAGAAUAUUCCGCAAUGGACGAAAGUCUGACGGAGCGACGCCGCGUGGAUGAUGAAGGCCGAAAGGUUGUAAAGUCCUUUUGCUGGGGAAGAAUAAGCAUGGGAGGGAAUGCCCGUGCGAUGACAUGAACCGGCGAAUAAGCCCCGGCUAACUACGUGCCAGCAGCCGCGGUAACACGUAGGGGGCGAGCGUUGUUCGGAAUUACUGGGCGUAAAGGGCAUGUAGGCGGCUUGGUAAGCCUGGCGUGAAAGUCACCGGCUCAACCGGUGGAUUGCGUUGGGUACUGCUGAGCUUGAAUCACGGAGAGGGAGCUAGAAUUCCAGGUGUAGGGGUGAAAUCCGUAGAGAUCUGGAAGAAUACCAGUGGCGAAGGCGAGCUCCUGGCCGAUGAUUGACGCUGAGGUGCGAAAGUGUGGGGAUCAAACAGGAUUAGAUACCCUGGUAGUCCACACUGUCAACGAUGUGCACUAGGUGCUGGGGCGGAUGCUUCAGUGCCGGAGCUAACGCGGUAAGUGCACCGCCUGGGGAGUAUGCUCGCAAGGGUGAAACUCAAAGGAAUUGACGGGGCCCCGCACAAGCGGUGGAUGAUGCGGUUUAAUUCGUUGCUACGCGAAGAACCUUACCUGGGUUUGACAUGUACGUGGUACGGAUCCGAAAGGUGAAGGACCGGGGUUUUCCCCGGAGCGUACACAGGUGCUGCACGGCUGUCGUCAGCUCGUGCCGUGAGGUGUUGGGUUAAGUCCCGCAACGAGCGCAACCCCUGCCGAUAGUUGCCAUCAGGUCAUGCUGAGCACUCUAUCGGGACCGCCUGGGUUAACCAGGAGGAAGGUGGGGAUGACGUCAAGUCAUCGUGGCCUUUAUACCCAGGGCGACACGCGUCAUACAGUGGCUGUUACAACGGGCUGCAACACCGCGAGGUGAAGCUAAUCCCUUAAAGGCAGCCAUGGUUCGGAUUGCAGGCUGCAGCUCGCCUGCAUGAAGAUGGAAUCGCUAGUAAUCGCAGAUCAGCCAUGCUGUGGUGAAUGCGUUCUCGGGGCUUGUACUCACCGCCCGUCA
rnacentral:rRNA from 1 species